rnacentral:rRNA from 1 species
UACGGAGGAUCCGAGCGUUAUCCGGAUUUAUUGGGUUUAAAGGGUGCGCAGGCGGGAGAUUAAGUCGGCGGUGAAAUUUUGCAGCUCAACUGUAAAAGUGCCUUCGAAACUGGUUUCCUUGAGUGUAGAUGAAGUAGGCGGAAUUUGUGGUGUAGCGGUGAAAUGCAUAGAUAUCACGAGGAACUCCGAUUGCGCAGGCAGCUUACUAAACUACUACUGGCGCUCAGGCACGAAGGCGUGGGGAUCAAACAGGAUUAGAUACCCUGGUA